UUGGUGGGCAUAUUACAAAGGAGAAUAUCCUGUGCGGCUUGUAUGCUUGGUAUUCAAACACGUUCUUGUACAUAAAGUAUAAGUACACUUGAUGCAGCAUCAGUGCAAUCGAAUCUGUGACAGUUGAGGUAAACUGAUAAGCCUUGUAUUUGAAUAUUAAUUGUGCAUACAUGUGGGUGCUACCUGAUAAAGGUCUCAUAAGUGGUGUAGCGGGGUCUCCCAGUGUCCGCUGCUGGAACAGACUGUGAUAAGAACCUCUGGCAUCUGGCAAACCAACUUAUGCUAGUGAAGAAUUAUUUUAGUGGGCUUUUAAUAUAGUUAGGAAUCAGUCUUUAUGCUCUUAAAUAUGAAAAACGAAUAUAUCAACAAUAUAUAGAACAAGUAGCUUAUUUAACUUUUUGUCAUUUUUUAAAAUAGUAGCAAUAGUUUCUUUUUAUUUUAAUAUACUUUAGGGAAUAUACAAAUCUGAGCAUUCCCACCAUUUCUGGGGAACAGCAGGAAGCUCCAGUUACAUGACUUUAAUGUUUUGUGACGGCUAAGAACAGCAGCCAGCACCAGACUUGAACAGGUAGCCACAGCACCCUUCAAAGUGAAAUGUCCUAGUAGCAAGACAGCUAAACCAGCGUCACAGUGACACUGCCUGGGAAGUGGCUUCUUUGUUAUUCUUAAAUGCUUUCCUCCUUCCACAAACACUUUAUACCUUAGUUCAUACUGAAUGAUCUAAAAUAAUAUUCAUGUGUUCAUUUUAUUGUUUCAGCUUUAUUUUUCCUUGAGGUCCAGUGUUUGAUGUAAAAAGAAUAAUGUAUUUCAUCAAAUAAAGAAUCCAGUACUUAACUUUAAAAGGCUCUUAGUUGGUUAUGAUGGCAUACACCUGUGAUCCAGUAUUUGGAGACUGAGCCAGGAAGAUUGUGGGUUUGAGAUUAGCCUGAGCUAUGUUAUAAGAUCCUGCCUCAGAAAACAAAAACAGUCUUACUGUACAUUGAAAGUACAUCUCUGGAAAUCUCCAUUGAAAUCCUGUGCCAUGUGAAAUCGUUUGUACUAAUGUAAUAGAGAAACAUCAGUUUAAUAUUGUGCUUGGGGGUGGAAGAGGCAGUAAGCAUUUUUUUUUAACUAAUAAGCACCCCAUUUUUUACUUCUGUGUUUCAGUUUUCUAAUUGUUUGACUUUUCCCCCAUGACAGGCCUUAUUUUAUUUACAUUCACUUGUGCUUCUAUAUUCUCCAUCUUUCUUUUGCUAAGGAUCCUAUUUCUAUGACUGUAAUGAGUAAAUAAAUUAAUAUUAACUUAGUCUCACAGCUUUAUAUGAUACUAAGUGUAGGGAAGGGACACAUAGGUAGCCCUAGUAUGUGGGAGACAGAGGCACACAGAGACAAGAGAAAGCAAGUUGGGCCAGAUUAAAACAAAAGAAAAAACUACCACCAAUAACAAAAACUAAUUGUAGAAUUCCCUAGAUUGAGAAUGGUUUAAUUUGCUUUCAGGUGGGGUUAGGUUGCCAUCUUAACUACUUAGGUUCCAGUGUUAUAUUUGCUCUGAGAUUGAUGUUUAUGUUUUAGAACGACUGCCCCAUCUUCUGUAGGGUUUCUUUCAUGUGAAAUACAUUUUCUGCUCAGCAGCACACCUUUCAGUGGUCUCUGAUAGAACAGGCAGAUUACCUUGUUUCUCACUAAUAGUGUCAUCACUUUUCUAACUACUAAAAACACCAAGUUCUAAAUGAAACUUAGUUACUCCCAAACAGCCUUAUAAUGUUUGGUGCCUAUUUUAGUGAUAGAAAAGAGCUUUUAUAAUUGAUGAAGUCAUAUAGUUGCAAGUGGAUGGCCCAGAGCUGUAUUGUAUUGUGUUUCCUAGGGAAAGAUUACUGCAGCAUUCACUAAUAUGAUUGUACUCGUAUAUUGCAUUUUACUUUAUUUGUAUAUGACUUCUAUAUGAACUUCAAAAAAUAACAUGGCAAAUUCUUAAUAGUUAAAUUGUUAUUUUACAGUGAGAUAAUUUCUUCUAUUUUUCAAAGAUUACAAUUAAAUAUUUUCCCCUUUUGGUUUUUGUUUGUUUAGUUUUUGCCUUUGAUACCACCUCUUACAAGUCCAGGUUGGCCUUGACCUUGUAGGAUGUGCCACCAAGGGCAGCCUUUUAAAAAGGUUUAUUUAUUAUAUGUAAGUACACUGUAGUUGUAUUCAGACACACCAGAAGAGGGUGUCAGAUCUCGUUACAGAUGGUUGUGAGCCACCAUGUGGUUGCUGGGAUUUGAACUCAGGACCUCUGGAAGAGCAGCCAGUGCUCUUAAGCCAUCUCACCAGCCCAAGGGCAGCCUUUUUUACUUGGGUUUUGAGGACUGAAAUUGUGUCCUCAAGUUAUUGCCACAAUCCCUGAGUUAAAAUAAUUCUGAAAAUUGAUACAUUUCAGUUCACUUGUGGUACUGAAUGUGACAGAAAAAGAUGAGGGCUAUAAACAGCACUCCCUCCACAAGCUGUAUUAGAAGAGGGUUGGUUGCUCACUGUCACUGCUUAAGAAGGGGCAGAGUGCUUCGUUUAGAUGAUGGAGUGGCUCGAAGUGGUUCUGUGGCUCAGGGUAUUGGUCAGCAGUUACAAAAGGACUAUCAGAUAUUUCUCAUGGUUCAUCUAAGAGAAAUGGCAAACUAUUUGUCCAAAAAAGUCAACAUUUAUAUAUGUAAUUUGGAAAAUACUCUCACACUUUAGGAGAUCAUUACACAUUUUUAUUUGAUAUUCAAAAUAAGAAUAUUCUAAAACUGUAAUGAGGAAAACUUUCCAUUAAAUGUUAAUCUGGAAAAUGUAUUCACAGAGACUGCAUUUGGUUGCAUUGCUUUCCCAUUGGUUUCCUUUGAGUUUGUAGCCUUCCUCAUGCUCUGACACCUUAGCCUAAGUUCUCUAUCUGCUUAGCAGUUAGAGUCGUGCAUGCGUCUCUUAAUCCAGAGAGUCUUCUCAUAUGUGAAUAUCUACCCCAGACUGAGGACUUCUGCAGAUAAAUUCCUGUUUGUUUGUGGCUUACUUUAGGUUUGAUGGGGUAUUUGGGUUUUUUCCCCUUUUUUGGGGGGUGGGGGUAUGUGUGCUUUUUUUCCUUUUCAAGUUUAUCACAUGGAGCAUCCAUCUUUCUAUUUCCCCUUAAAAUACAACAACAAAAUCAAACGGUUUUUAAAGUCUC
rnacentral:lncRNA from 1 species